ACUGCCAUAUCACAAUUAAACACUGGUGCUCGUAUGAUCACCAAAAGUUAAGCAACAUUGAGCUUAGUCAGUACCUAGAUGGGUGACUGCUUGGGAAUACCAGGAGCUGUAG
rnacentral:rRNA from 1 species